AUCUUUUUGUAGUUCAUAAGUGUGAUGAUUGGGUUUUGACAUGCAGGUGUGAGAUGUGCCACCCUCAAACCUUGUUACAGCAUAGACACGUGACCCUCUGGUG
rfam:Pan troglodytes isolate Yerkes chimp pedigree #C0471 (Clint) chromosome 22, whole genome shotgun sequence.